UAGGAUUCAGCCGCUUGGGGUUCCACCACUGGCUGGCCUCGCCCAUUUUCCAGCUUGUUUUGUGGCCGUUUUUGGGCUAUUUUCAGACACACACACAGACACACACACCAAGACAAGAGAUUUAAAGGACUUCGCACCCAGCAAGACAAGAAACAAUGGAUGGAAUCUAAUCAAGGAGAGAAGCCACCUGGAAUUAAGGAGAAGCUUCCUAAAAAUUGCAAGUAUGAGAGACAUCAAGAACUGAAGAAGCAUUUUGGAUCAUUUUGGAA